UGGGCGGGCUCCGGGCCGGAAUUGGGGGUGAAGCUCCAGCGUUGUGCCCACAUUCUGGGCGCGCGGAGCUGAGGGGUCCCCGGGGGGCGCCCGGAGCUAAGAUGGCGUCCGCAGCCGAGGGGGACGUGGGAGCAGUGGCGGAGCUGGCGACGGUGCUGCGGUGGGGUUUCCAGGACCUGAGCCUUAACAAGUUGGCGACGUCCCUGGGCGCGUCAGAACAGGCGCUGCGGCUCAUCAUCUCCAUCUUCCUAGUAGAUCUUCAUCUCCUUCCUUUCCCGGGAGGCUCCAAGUGUGGUCUUGGGACCAGCAGCAUCAGCUCUCCUAGAAACUCGUUAGACACGCAGAUUCUCAGGUCCACGCCCAACCGACUAAAUGAGAAACUGAGGAUGGGGCCCAGUGAUCUGCGGUUUAACAAGCCCUCCAGGUUAUACCGGUUCCCCUGAUGUUUGAGGAUCACGGGUUUAGUGUGUGGCUUCAAGUAUCUGUUUUGUAAUACUUGAUGUCCUGAUAGUACCUUAAACUUUUUGAAACGUCGUUGUAUCCUGUGAUCUUUGGAAUAAACAAAAUGCUCUCAGGUUCUUUAGGGCUUAGUUUUCCCCGUUUGCUAACAUCUCUUGUUAUUCUCCAAAUAGUAUUAUCAUUCUUGAAUCAUAUGAUUAAUGUCAUUAUAACAAUGACGUUAUUAUAUCAUUAUCAUCUUUAUUAUCAGAACUAUCAUCAUUACCCACACCGUCUGUUGUGACUUGGAGCUUUAACAAAAAUUAGGUGCCCUCGUUGCAGCUGCCGGGGAAAGAUGUUCUAAGUGAACUGUCGUUCUCAAGCAGAGAGUUUUUUUUUUGUUUGUUUUGUUUUUUUAAAACAUUUAUUUAUUUAUUUUUGCUGUGCCAGGUCUUAGUUGCAGCAUGCGGGCUCUUUUAGUUGCAGCAUGAAGACUCUUCAUUGUGGCAUGCAUAUGGGAUCCAGUUCCCUGACCAGGGAUCGAACCCGGGUCCCCUGUGGUGAGAGUGCGGAGUCUUACCCACUGGACCACCAGGGAAGUCCCAAGCAGAGAGUUUUUAAGAAGCGAGAGGAGGGGCAGACAGGUCAGAGAGCAGAGAAGAUGAGGCUGGGGGCUCUGCAGGUCUGUCUGGCCAGCCCUCCGCCCCCCCUCCCUGUACCUCUGAUGAGCCUGUGCUCCCAGGUGAGAAGCAUCUCUGCUAGUUGACUUGUGCACCCCUUCCCACUCCUGGACUUAAAUAGGUGCCCCAGGUCUCAAAUAUUCAGCCUUAGCGGAUAAUCACAGGAUCCUUCUCCCUUCCCACCCCCAGGGCCCAACUCCCUUCCCUUCCCAUCUGCCCGAAUUCCCGUCCUGGAAGUUAGUUACUCUCCUUGAGGUAUGCGUUUCAGCCACUGUCUGUAAAAAGGUGAACACACCCGGAAGAGGAGUUCCACGCUACAUGGUGCUGCCUUACUCCACAUACCGAGCUAGGGGCGACGAUGUACCCCAGAGUCCAGCCUGACAGCCUUACCGCCCCUUCUCUUCACAGUUUGCGUCCCAGCCCUUGCAUCCCAGCUGGCCCACCCUGCCUGCUACCAGCCCCAAUCCUGCCCAAGCCUUCUCAGCCUCACCCCUCCCAGGCCUGAGCAGCUCCUGAGAGCCAGGAUCCUGCUGCCACCAACACUCCUGCCCCAGCCCCCCACCUCAGAUGCCCACCAGAACUUCUUUGGGGAAUAUGCCUGUUAUUUGAAGGACCUUGAAUGAAGCCCUGUGUCCACGGAAUUUUGGGAGUGGCAGAAUUUUCUGGUGUAUGCCUAGUUUUGUUGUGGUGGUUGACUUUUUUUUUUAGUAAAUAAUCCAGUGUUUGUGGGACCUGAAGCUUCUAUAAUCUUGGUGAACUUCUUUAAGAAAAAGAAUACAAAAAAUAUCUUGCAUGUUUUUAUAAAAACGUAUGACCUUGGGAACACAUCGCUAGCUCCUACCUCCACCCCCCCCAACCCCCAACCCCCGGUCUUAAAGGGGCCCAUGCAGAUGAAGGGCCUCAGCCUGAAGCCUGAUUAAACUUCCUGGCAAAUCGGCUUCUUCUGGGACUACUGGGUGCAACUGACACCUUUAUUUUUGAAAUUUGCUAUAGGCUUACUUUAAAUCAGAUUGAGGUGGGCAAAGGCCAAAAUUUCCCACCUCUAGGUUAGAGGCUUGAGCCUGAGAUUUUAUAUCUUAAAACUGGUUAAAUGAAUACUCAAAUUUUAAGAAAUUAGCUAUAGAUAUGCUUAUAUAAAAUAUUUGUCAUGGGGUCUUUCUUG